rnacentral:rRNA from 1 species
GAUGAACGCUAGCGGCAGGCUUAACACAUGCAAGUCGAGGGGUAUUGGUUUUCGGACCAAGAGACCGGCGCACGGGUGCGUAACGCGUAUGCAAUCUACCUUUUGCAGAGGGAUAGCCCCAGAGAAAUUUGGAUUAAUACCUCAUAGUAUGUGAGAAUGGCAUCAUUUUCACAUUAAAGUCACAACGGCAAAAGAUGAGCAUGCGUCCCAUUAGUUAGUUGGUAAGGUAACGGCUUACCAAGACAAUGAUGGGUAGGGGUCCUGAGAGGGAGAUCCCCCACACUGGUACUGAGACACGGACCAGACUCCUACGGGAGGCAGCAGU